UUGGUAGAGGGAGCGGAUUGAGCUAAAAAUUCUUCAUGAAUCUCUCUUAAACAUGCCUAAGAAACUUACUUAUGUUAUAAAGAAUAAGGUAAAUACCAAUUAUUAAAGCAUUCUUAUUGAUUAGGUUUUUUAAAUUUUCAUUUUAAAAAAAUUGAAUGAAUUUCGCUCUAAAUCAUCCAAAAAUUUAAUAUUUGGCUGGCGUACACGCACGAACGCAAAUGCACGAGGGUCAGUGUAUUGUGUUCUUCAAAUGACGUGAUUUGCAUAAAAUAAAUAAUAUUACUUUCUAUAUGCAUUGAUUAUAACAAUUAAUAAUUUGAAUGAAAUUUAUAUUUAUUUAGAAUGAAAAACCAAUCAAAUCUAAUACUAUUUUUUGAAUCAAUAGCAUAAGUAUUUGAAAAAAAGGAAACUACAUUCAGAUCUAUGACUGAUUCCAUCAGUACGGAAAACAUUAAAACGAGUCAGUCUUGAAGAAGCCGCUGAGUUGAAAAGUUGUCACACAAAUUAUUUCCAAUCUAUUUGAAAAUGAAAAAAAAACUAAAAAAUGGUUACAGUGGAUAAGUAAACUUAUAAAGUUGCAAAAAUCAUCAAGUGAUCGACAAAGAAAUUUGAUAAAGUGUUGGAAAUCGUUAGAUUGGUUCAAUCGAUCAUCCUGAUUGCAAGUCAUUGUUGAUUGGAAACGUCCGUGAGCAGAAGCUGGAAAAUUAUCACCAUAUCUGUUUUAUCGAACUACUUUUCUUCAAAAAUUCCAUCUAGGAGAGACCUAAAUAGUAUCAAGGUAAGAAAAUUGAUUUUUUUUGUAAUGCAAUAAGAAUUACAUAAUUUGUGAAAGUUAGCAUUGAUCUUUACAAAGAAAUAUUGGACCUCGCAUAAUUUUUUUAUUAUAAAAAUGUUAAUUAUAUCAACUUAUUUAUGUUGAAUAUGUAUUUUCAAUUAUCGCUUUGGAAAAUAUCAUACUGGAAAAGUUUUUAAUUUCAUUUUUAUUUUUAUUCUUUCUUUUAUCAAUCGUGGUAACCGUUGAACCGUUCACUGGGAAAAGGACAAUCAUUGUCUUUUCCAUGGAAUUGGAAAAGUGAUUCGCAGAUAGCAGCAGAACUCAGAGCAAACAGUAAAGGACGUAAAUCUGCAAAACACAACUUAGAAAAGUGAGCGCUGUAAUAAAAGUAGACGAGGAGCACUACCACUGAUCAAAUUUCAUUAUGUCAUCGUUUAUCUUUACGGGGCAAAAGACAAUCAGUCUUUUGAAGUAUCUUAUUUCUUCUGAAACUGGUAAACACUAUUGGGAGAAAGCAGAAGAGCAUACAUCCAAAAGCUGAGAAGAAGACUUCACGAAACUACUAGAAAGUCGUGCAACACCCCAUAGAAAUUAAUGUAAUACAAUUUUAUUGUGAAUACACAUUAUUUAUGUCAAAUAAAUUUAUUUUUGAAAUCAUAGCAAGAGUUUUUUAAAUAUACCCUGGUACUGUUAUAUCUACCCGAGGAUAUUAUUUGAAUUAAUGUGGACGAAUAUCAAAGCAAACAUAUUUGCCAUUGAAUCUAUGGUAAAGAACAUUUAAAUAUACCAAGGAAAUUUUUAAUUUUACCCAUUGUGUAUUUAAAUUAAUGGUAACUCGUAGUUAAAACAAAUAUUUCUACUAUUGAAACUAUGGUAGUGUUACCCAGAAAUUUUUGAUUCUACCCAUGAAAGUGUUUAAAAUCCACUUUAGAAAUAAAGUGCAAAUGUAUUUGAUUUAAAAGACAUGUUUUCUUUUCAAAUACAGUGCCAUUCAAAAUAAAUACAAAUAUAUUUGUUGUGGCUAUGAUUACUGCCUUUCAGAUCAAAUGUAAAAAUAUUUGAAGUAAAAGUCGUCUGUAUUCAAAUCAAAUAAAACAUUAGAAACAAAUGUAUUCUACCAUUGGGGCCAAAAUACCCAUAAUUUCAUUUGAUUUUACCCAG